ACCACCGCAGGGUAUCGCGAGAGCGCGUCUGGGCCGGAAGCUGGAGCCACCAGCCUGUCCCGUGCCCUAGGAGGCUGAGAAAGUGCGUCACUGGCUUCCCCAUUAGGGAGGCAGGUGUGAGCUCGGUCAGGUUGCGCUGCUGUGACAAAUUAUCGCAGACCGGCGGCUGAGAGGACGGACGCUACUGCUCGCAGUUCUGGAGGCUGAAGGCUGAGCUGUUUAUUGACACGCGCUAGGUGUCAGGGACUGUUCCAGGCACCUGGGAUACAGCUGUGAACAAGCCCCUCACCCCAGCGCCGGCGCAGACAGUAAACCAGCCAGCGAUGGGCUAGAUGGUGAUGGCCGCUCGUUUGUAGAUGUGAAACUCAAGCCCUGGAAGAAGCGACAUCAGUAACUCCUUGUUUUGAAGUCAAGUCAACAAGCAUUGGCUCAUUCCAAGAAAAUGCUGGCUACUGGUUAAAUCUGUCUUGGAUGUACAAUGAGAACGUGGCCACACGUAGGAAGCGCCCAGCACCUACACCGAGAUGGGCAUCUCAGCUUGGUGUAAAGGACCCUCAUUUGCCAAUGCCCACAGCUUUUAUUGGGACCCUUAAAAGAACCAACACACUUAGCCCUCUGGGACCAACAACGCAACCUUAUCAUCUGACAAGGAUGCAGGCUCCUGGGGUAGGCUGCCCAGCUUCUGCACCUGCUUCCAUCACCUACAAGCUCAUGAGUCUGUACAGUAUUUAAUUAUCAUGCCUCAGUUUCCCCAUCUAUAAAGUGGGGAUGAUAAUAAUUGUCCUUCCUUUGUAGAGUUGUUGUGAGGCAUAAAUGGGUUAUUAUACGUGAAGCACUGUUAGUUCCUGGCAACACAGAAAGUUGUCAGCUCUGGCUGCUUCUGAGCAAAAGGGCCACAGCAUGGUGUUGGGGCAGCGCACCCAUAGCCUGGCUCCUGGGAACCAGCAGCCCUCCCAGGGUCUUCCUUGGUGUUCCUGGGCCCACCGCCAGCCUCGGCACUGCCAGUAGCCAAUAAUUUUCUCUGCCCUCAACGUAGACAAUUCGUCCACCCCUCUCCCCUUCCUCCACAUUGCUUAAGUGAGGCAGGCAGGGCCUGCCUCAUUCAGUAAAAUUCCUUAUUUUACUGACCUUAGAAAGAUGGAAACAGAGGCUCUGAGGAUUGCGGUGCUCAGUCCAAGCCAACUCAGCUGUGUCUGGGACAGAUUUGCAGCUGCUGACUCCGAGUGCCUGCUGGUGCAGCGAGGCGGCCACGGGCCAGCUGGUCGUGCUGGU